ensembl:snRNA U4 U4 spliceosomal RNA
AGCUUUGCGCAGUGGCAGCAUCAUAGCCAAUGAGGUUUAUCCGAGGCACGAUUAUUGCUAAUUAAAAGAUGGAGGCAACAUCUCAAAUUCCACCCUGGUUCGUUCAGCUUUCUGGAGACAUCUAGCUUUUUAGCAAUCAGAUCAUGCUAUUCUG